rnacentral:piRNA from 1 species
AGAACGCAGGUGUUGUGAAAACCA